rnacentral:rRNA from 1 species
GACGAACGCUGGCGGCGUGCUUAACACAUGCAAGUCGAACGAUGGACCCGGAGCUUGCUCUGGGGGAUUAGUGGCGAACGGGUGAGUAACACGUGAGUAACCUGCCCUGGACUCUGGGAUAAGCGUUGGAAACGACGUCUAAUACCGGAUAGGACCUUGGAUCGCAUGAUCUGGGGUGGAAAGUUUUUUCGGUCUGGGAUGGACUCGCGGCCUAUCAGCUUGUUGGUGAGGUAAUGGCUCACCAAGGCGUCGACGGGUAGCCGGCCUGAGAGGGUGACCGGCCACACUGGGACUGAGACACGGCCCAGACUCCUACGGGAGGCAGCAGUGGGGAAUAUUGCACAAUGGGCGAAAGCCUGAUGCAGCAACGCCGCGUGCGGGAUGACGGCCUUCGGGUUGUAAACCGCUUUUAGUAGGGAAGAAGGGCUUCGGCUUGACGGUACCUGCAGAAAAAGGACCGGCUAACUACGUG